ensembl:lncRNA
CGGACUCGCUCCUGACCAGACCGAAAUAGUAACCUAAUCCAACAUUACUCGACCUACAAGUCUAGCUGACAGUGACUCUUCAACUUUGUUUGCUGAGAUGGUUGUUACAAAGAGAGAACUUACUUGUGAAUAAGUAGUAACUUCAUCGUCAUUGUACGAACGCAGUACGGCGGCUGGACCUCCUAAACAAGAACUUUUCAUAUGUCUGAGACCAGCCCCUCACGCCUCAUGGAGGGGCAUCCACUGUUUCCACAGAGGGGAGCCAUGUUCUUGAGGAUUGUGGUUGACUGAGUGAUAGCUGUAGAUGGAGAAACUACCACGUCAUGUUCAUUAGAAGAGUUAGCUGAAGUGUCCUGCUCCCUGACAGAGGGAAAGGUGCAGAAGGCUGUGCAGUACGCUGCUGGGGACACCAGCAUCAAUGAAGAGAUGCAGGUCUUCCAGACCCCAGAACCUGUAAAAGUGCUUUGUCUCUAGCAUGGUAAACAAAUGUAAUGCAAAUCCUUAUUAAACUGACAUACUACUGUUCAGGAGUAUUACAUUUUCUUAUUUU